AAAAAAAAAAAAAAAAAUCCAAGAACCAAGAGUUGGUAUUUAUGCUGAUAUUUGAGCUGACAAAAUAGAUAUUGCCUAAAAGAACCCAUUGCAACAAAAUCACCAAGGAACAUAGAAAAUAAAUUUAAAAAAAAAAAAUUUCAGUUCUUCAUUUAGAAAAUUGAUAUAUGUAAAUAUAAAAUUCUAUUUUUAAUUUUUUUUAAAAUUUUUUUCAGAAAAUUAUUUCAAUUUUUACAAGUGAAUAAUCCCUUAAUAUUUAGCUAAUUUUAUUUAUUUAUUGAUUGAUUAAUUUAAUUUAUACAGAAAAACCUAAUUAAAAACAAUCAUUUGUAUUUGUAUCAUCAUUUUCAUCACACAAUUAGGCUAACUUCAUAAAAUUUUAACUGUUUAUAGGAAGUUCAUGACUGAUAAUCUUAUGAAAAAUAGACUCAUAAAAUAUAUUUGCUAAUAUUCAAUCUUAAUGCACAUUUAUAUAUUUAUAUAAUGCAAAUAUUCAACCUGCUUUUAUAUAUCUAAAUCCAUCUUGUCUUUAAAUAAUACAAAAUAGAUAUAACCAUAUGAAUACUCAUAUUUCAUCCAAAGAAGUCUUUGCAAAUCUUUGCAUACAUGCCAUGCAUAAAACUGCAAACCUAAUGAUCAAAUUAUUCUUCUAAAAAUUAUACUUAGACUCUG
rnacentral:misc_RNA from 1 species